rnacentral:lncRNA from 1 species
UUGUUCAGGGGUAGGGUUGGCCCCUGUACAUUUAAUUUCAAGAUCAGUGUUCGACAGUGUUUGUCAAAUUCAGGACUGGCGCUGGAAGCUGUAGGUGGAGGGAAGACCAGGAGUGGUGCAGCUCUGUAGAUGCUGAAGGUGUGCCAAUGGGUCACGUGUGUUCCUGAAGGGACUGAGGCGACGCAGUUGGAGGUCCCUGCGGUGGCGGUCAGCGGGAGGUGUCAAGACCAACCAGCUCCUCGUCCAGGAAAGGUGAAUUCAUCAGACCGAUUAAAGGUUCAACAAAGUAAAUCUUAUCAUCUGAAAAAUCUAGGACACAGUAGCUGGGUUCAUCAGCAAAUUGUAGCUGGGCUUUUGGUCACCCAGAAUAAAAGUGGUACCGUAUCCCCAACGUCAUAAUGUUGUAACCUGUCGAACCCAACACUAACAUUUCGGGAAGCUUUCAGUGCAUCUUGACAAUGCCCCUGUUAGAUACAUUUACACUUGGUUGGGGCCAUUGUAUAAACGUGUGUGCUUUUGAUUUUUUUUUUUCGCUUAGUCAAACUGAUAUUGGCUAAUGCUUAAGAUUCGUACAAAUUAAUAAUUGCCCUUCCAAGUCACACAAUGAUUGCUUCCAUCCUUUGUAUAGUUUUUAUACCUACCCUUGGUGUAUAUUUUUUGCCCUUGCUAUUACUAAUUUCCACUUGGGAUCAACAAAGUACUGUUUUUUUCAGGUCACGAUGGAAUAGCAGAUGGCUGUGCAGUUGCCAUGGCGGAGAGACCCAGGUGAGAACUUUGAUAAAUGGUUACUUCAUUCUUAAAUGUACCAAACGGCAAUAACUUAAUCCCUCCCAAUUUUCAUAAAAAGGUUGAAGACUCCCUGGGAAUAGCUCAACUGACUUGUAUCAAUUAUACAUAUACAUUUAUUGAUUAAAGAUGGUAAUCCAGCACUGACGUUUUUGAUGUUGUUGCCGUAAUGACUUGAAGCCUUUUCUCUCCUGUAAAUCGAUCUCAAAUCCAACCUAAAUUACUGAAUGUAAUGACCUAUGUUUGACGCCAGAUGGUGCUGUUACUGCAUUUGUGUCUUUGAUUGGCCUUCACGUUUGGUGAUGAAAAUGUCUUCUAAAUCGGCCAGCACACUGUGAGACUGACUUUACUUUUUGCCUUAAAUUUAUUUCAGAGUACGAUGACCGAACAGUUGAUCUACAACAGUGGCCUACUCCCCAUCCACCCUGAGGAUCCCUGGCUACACCUACAAUCCAAUCUACCCCAGACAUAACCACUUGGAGCUCAACAACUUCUACAACUCCCCCUACCUCCUACACACCAUACUGUUACCACUUUACCAUUUUAACUUUAAAACAAAGUACUGUAAUUCACACCAUGUUGUAGGAAAAGCAUGUUUACUUGAAUGAUUUAUGCAUUUUAUUUCUGUGACCCCAACUAUUGUAUUUCUGACCCAGUUACCUCUGAACCCUCUUUCUAAGGGAGCGACUAAAGGGACAAAGCUGGAGCUAACCUGAGCUUAACAAUCUUUCUAAUCUUUCUUUCAAAUGCCCUAAAUUGAAUCACAUAAAAUGCCUAAAGUAACUUGUCUAACAAAACAAAAAGCCAACCUAAUACCCAAACUUAACCAUCUAACUAUAGAUCUCAAAUGCCUAAACUCUCUUACUCUAAACGAGUACCUAAACUGAACCAUUUAACUAAACAUCUCAAAAGCCUAAACUCGCUUACCUCAACCUAACCUAAUACCCAAACUUAACCAUCUAUAACUGAAGAGCUCAAACGCCUAAACUCUUACCAUAACCUAGUACCUAAACUGAACCAUCUAACUAAACAUCUUAAAGGCCUAAACUCGCUUACCUCAACCUAACCUAAUACCCAAACUUGACCCUCUAACUAAACAUCUCUAAUGCCUAAACUCUUUCCUAAUACCUAAACAAUCUUUAAUACAAUCACUAAUGCCUAAACUUAACCAAACACCAAUAAUAAAAGUUAACCAUCCUUAAUCUUAAACCCAAACCAGACUUGUCCCUGGGUCGCUCCACUUUGUUUCUUUAAAGGCAUCUCUUUUCCCCCGCAUCUGUGUUUUAUUCCUUGAGGACUUCAAGUACUUCAGAUGAUGUUUGAAAACUUGUUUCAUUAAUAAAGAUACUUCAUCUUUACAGAUUUUGUUUUGGGGAAUUGGGACUGCUGAGCAGCUUAAGCAUCCUUACUGGUGAAACUGAUCUGACAAUAUCAAUUUUAGUACUAUGAAGCCAAUAACAUGAGGCUGAAUAUGUGAAAAGACGAGGUAGACAAUGAUCGAGGAGUCAACAAGGAGUUGAUUGGUAAACAUCUAACGUGGAACCAAUGCUUAUUUGUUUGAUCUGUUACCAGGCUAUCGCAGUAGGGGAAUCUGGAGGAGUACCCAACAGUGUUGCAUGGGUUCUUGAUAGAUUGCAUUACGGCUGAGGCCAUUCAUUAAGAUUGUUGAUUUGAUGAAUAUGAAUAAAGAGGAAUUUAAAUUUUAAAUGUCUUUCAAAUUUGUCACAAUAGGGAAAUCUGUUUUAAAUGCAUCUAGGUGAAGUGUUAGGGAACAGGACGUGGGGACCCAAGUGAUGAACACAGGGCGGCAGAGGCGGGGCAAAGGAAACGGGAUUUAUUGGUAGGCAGGCGGGUAGUCAGGCAGGCAGGGGGAGAACUGGAGAAAAGGAGAGAUGGUUACCACGGGGACAGGCUACGAAACAGAUGUUCAAGAAUGCUGGUAGGACCGAUACUAACUGGGUAGACGUAACGACGAACUGGCGCCGGCUGGUAGGAGAUCCCCGGCUGAAGCAGGGAAUGGUGAUUGGUGAUUGUAGACUGGUGUGUCAGGAGAAGGACCACUGGCGGCAAGUAGCCACUAGAUGGAGGUAUUGGACCGCGUAGCAGGACGCGGCGUGACAUGAAGUGGUAUUGGUACUAUAAAACACCAAGAAUAGCAGGCUAUGUAUAAAUAAUGUCCACCUUAUUUUCUGUUUAAUAAGAACCUAUGUAGUCAUCACUCACCCUCAGGCUCUGGUCUAACCCUGGGCACACCUUGACCUAGAAACUCUUCUUCCUCCUCCUCUCUGAUUGGCUGGAAUUUCCUGGAAGACUUUUGGAAUGAUCUCCUGGAUGACCCUAGUUCUCCUGAAGAUACAAUAGAAACAUACUUCAGAAGACCAUAGUAAUGGCUGAGAUGUGAAAUUUGCACUGGAGACAGCUGGGGAUUAACGACAUGAAAGAUGAGUCAUGUCUGU